UACAGGGGGUGCAAACGUUGCUCGGAAUUAUUGGGCGUAAAGCGCGCGUAGGCGGCUACCUAAGUCGGAUGUGAAAGCCCCUGGCUUAACUGGGGAAGUGCACCCGAAACUGAGUAGCUAGAGUGCGAAAGAGGGUCGCGGAAUUCCCGGUGUAGAGGUGAAAUCCGUAGAUAUCGGGAGGAACACCGGUGGCGAAGGCGGCGACCUGGGUCGACACUGACGCUGAGGCGCGAAAGCGUGGGGAGCAAACAGG
rnacentral:rRNA from 1 species